AUUGAACGCUGGCGGAAUGCUUUACACAUGCAAGUCGAACGGCAGCACGGGGCGAACCUGGUGGCGAGUGGCGAACGGGUGAGUAAUACAUCGGAACGUGCCCAAUCGUGGGGGAUAACGUAGCGAAAGUUACGCUAAUACCGCAUACGAUCUACGGAUGAAAGCGGGGGAUCGCAAGACCUCGCGCGAAUGGAGCGGCCGAUGUCAGAUUAGGUAGUUGGUGGGGUAAAGGCUCACCAAGCCGACGAUCUGUAGCUGGUCUGAGAGGACGACCAGCCACACUGGGACUGAGACACGGCCCAGACUCCUACGGGAGGCAGCAGUGGGGAAUUUUGGACAAUGGGCGCAAGGCCUGAUCCAGCCAUUCCGCGUGCAGGAUGAAAGGCCUUCGGGUUGUAACUAGC
rnacentral:rRNA from 1 species